CUGAGCGCACUUCAGACUCACAUACGCUAAAAUCAAAGUGAUACAGAGGAGGCUAGCGUGGCCCCUGCAUAAAAAUGACACACAAAUUUGUGAAAUAUUCUGUGAUUCU